rnacentral:rRNA from 1 species
UACGUAGGGUGCAAGCGUUGUCCGGAAUUAUUGGGCGUAAAGAGCUCGUAGGCGGUUUGUCGCGUCUGCUGUGAAAACUCAGGGCUUAACCCUGAGCCUGCAGUGGGUACGGGCAGACUAGAGUGUGGUAGGGGAGAUCGGAAUUCCUGGUGUAGCGGUGGAAUGCGCAGAUAUCAGGAGGAACACCGGUGGCGAAGGCGGGUCUCUGGGCCGAUACUGACGCUGAGGGAGCGAAAGCGUGGGGAGCGAACAGG